CUCUGUUGAAGAGUGGCAAGACUCUCGCGAGUUCUUAAAAAUGCACUUGUUUGGUAUGAGAAUGAAAAGCAGUGGCUGAAGAACCAAUCUUCAAUGGGCAAGCCUUCUCUGAUGCCUUGUUUGAGGUAUAGUGUGAAUCCAUUAGCACGGAACUCAGGACCAGCAAUGGUGCGACUCAGGCCUGAAGGAAGCUUUUCUAGCACAUGGAUUUCCUCUGUAAGGCACCUCACAGCCUCUCGUGCCUGGGAACUCUAGCCAGCACUGCAGCACGAUGCCCGGGGCCAUUAUAAAUGUGAAAUUACCAAAGAAACCCCACAAAAAUGUGAAAAUCAUGGCACUAAAUAGACCACAAAAAGGAUGCUUGUUUGCAGUAUGAGAACUGAAACCAGAAAUUUCUCCCCACUCUGCCAGUGUCUUUGAGUGACCAGGAAAUUGCUGGGAAUAUUCAUUUUGGGACAACAAAUAAAUUUUAUCAAGUAGCUGAAUUUGCAAA
rnacentral:lncRNA from 1 species